rnacentral:rRNA from 1 species
CCUACGGGAGGCAGCAGUGGGGAAUCUUGCGCAAUGGGGGAAACCCUGACGCAGCAACGCCGCGUGGGUGAUGAAGGCCUUCGGGUCGUAAAGCCCUGUCAGGUGGGAAGAAAUGUGAAGAUGCUAAUAACAUCUUCACUUGACGGUACACCGGGGGAAGCACCGGCUAACUCCGUGCCAGCAGCCGCGGUAAUACGGAGGGUGCAAGCGUUGUUCGGAGUUACUGGGCGUAAAGCGCGUGUAGGCGGUCAGGUAAGUCAGAGGUAAAAGCCUUCCGCUCAAGGGGAGAAGUGCAUUUGAAACUGCCUGACUAGAGUACGGGAGAGGAGAGUGGAAUUCCCGGUGUAGAGGUAAAAUUCGUAGAUAUCGGGAGGAACACCAGUGGCGAAGGCGGCUCUCUGGCCCGAUACUGACGCUGAUACGCGAAAGCGGGGGGAGCAAACAGGAUUAGAUCCCCUUGUAGU